AUAAUCAACAAUACCAAAAGCCCCUGAAUAAAAAAGUGUCAUUUCAGUAGAAAUUGAAGCGCAAAGCUCAUUAAAUGUUUAAUGCAGAAUAAUCCAACAUAUUAAACCAUUUUGUGCCCAAUCCAAAGCAGGAAGUGAAAUCAAAUUCCUAUAAAUUACCAUAGAAAAAAAAUGCUAAAACAUGAAUAUAUUUAUAAAUGUUUACUCUAGUAAAAGUAAUACCAUCACUGUCUCGAGAAACUUCA
rnacentral:misc_RNA from 1 species